UUUCUGGAAGCUUGUAACUGGGCACGCUUGAGUUGUUGACGCUCUUUCUUGUGAGCGUUUUGGUGACCACCAAGUGCUUGUGAAUUUGAGAACUCUCUGCAACAGUACUGACACUCAUAUUUCCGUUCACCGGAGGAGGAGGAAGGAGAAGAGGUUGAGGUUGAAGUUGAAGUGGUGUUCGGAGUUGUUGAAUCUUCAUGGAGCACCUCGUCUUCGAGGCUUUCUUCUUGUACGUUGAAUCCGAAGAGCUUGAGGCGCGUUGGGGAAGUGGGGAAUGUGGUUUUAGUAUGGGACACUAAUGAGGACAACAGAUCUGC